rnacentral:rRNA from 1 species
ACGAACGCUGGCGGCAUGCCUAACACAUGCAAGUCGAACGCCCCGCAAGGGGAGUGGCGGACGGGUGAGUAACACGUGGGAACCUGCCCAAUGGUCUGGAAUAACCGCGGGAAACUGCGGCUAAUACCGGAUAAGCCCGAGAGGUGAAAAGAUUUAUCGCCGGAUGGAGGGGCCCGCGUCCGAUUAGGUAGGUUGGUGAGUAAUGGCCUACCAAGCCUACGAUCGGUAGCUGGUCUGAGAGGAUGAUCAGCACACUGGGACUGAGAUACGGCCCAGACUCCUACGGGAGGCAGUCAGUGGGGAAUAUUGGACAAUGGGGGCAGCCCUGAUCCAGCAAUGCCGCGUGAGUGAUGAAGGCCUUAGGGUUGUAAAGCUCUUUUGGCGGGGACGAUGAUGACGGUACCCGCAGAAUAAGCCCCGGCUAACUUCGUGCCAGCAGGCCGCGGGGUAUACGAAGGGGGCGAGCGUUGUUGUCGGAAUUACUGGGCGUAAAGGGCGCGUAGGCGGCGAUCCGAGUCAGAUGUGAAGUCCUGGGCUUAACCUGGGGACUGCAUUGAUACCGGAUUGCUUGAAUGCAGGAGAGGAUAGCGGAAUUCCCAGUUGUAGAGGUGAAAUUCGUAGAUAUUAGGAAGAAACACCGGUGGCGAAGGCGGCUAUCUGGACUGUGAUUGACGCUGAGGCGCGAAAGCGUGGGGAGCAGACAGGAUUAGAUACCCUGGUAGUCCACGCCGUAAACGAUGAAUGCUAGACGCUGGGGAGCAUGCUCUUCGGUGUCGCAGCUAACGCAUUAAGCUUCCGCCUGGGGAGUACGGUCGCAAGAUUAAAACUCAAAGGAAUUGACGGGGGCCCAGCACAAGCGGUGGAGCAUGUGGUUAAUUCGAAGCAACGCGAAGAACCUUACCAACCCUUGACAUGGGACCGUAUGGUGCUCGAGAGCUCGGGUCCUUCAGUUCGGCUGGCGUCCACACAGUUGCUGCAUGGCUGUCGUCAGCUCGUGUCGUGAGAUGUUGGGUUAAGUCCCGCAACGAGCGCAGCCCUCAUCUUCAGUUGCCAUCAUUUAGUUGGGCACUCUUGAAGAAACUGCCGGUUGACAAGCCGGAGGAAGGCGGGGAUGACGUCAAGUCCUCAUGGCCCUUACGGGUUGGGCCACACACGUGCUACAAUGGUGGUGACAAUGGGGAGCAAAGGCGCGAGCCUGAGCCGAUCUCAAAAAGCCAUCUCAGUUCGGAUUGCACUCUGCAACUCGGGUGCAUGAAGUUGGAAUCGCUAGUAAUCGCGGAUCAGCAUGCCGCGGGAAUACGUUACCCGGGCCUUGUACACACCGCCCGUCACACCAUGGGAGUUGGUUCUACCCGAAGCCGGCGGUAUCAAACCGCCGACCACGGUAGGGUCAGCGACUGGGGUG